AGUGGCGAACGGGUGAGUAAAGUAUCGGAACGUGCCCAGUCGUGGGGGAUAACGUAGCGAAAGUUACGCUAAUACCGCAUACGAUCUAUGGAUGAAAGCGGGGGAUCGCAAGACCUCGCGCGAUUGGAGCGGCCGAUAUCAGAUUAGGUAGUUGGUGGGGUAAAGGCUCACCAAGCCGACGAUCUGUAGCUGGUCUGAGAGGACGACCAGCCACACUGGGACUGAGACACGGCCCAGACUCCUACGGGAGGCAGCAGUGGGGAAUUUUGGACAAUGGGCGCAAGCCUGAUCCAGCCAUGCCGCGUGCAGGAUGAAGGCCUUCGGGUUGUAAACUGCUUUUGUACGGAACGAAAAGGUUUGGCCUAAUAAGCUGAGCUCAUGACGGUACCGUAAGAAUAAGCACCGGCUAACUACGUGCCAGCAGCCGCGGUAAUACGUAGGGUGCGAGCGUUAAUCGGAAUUACUGGGCGUAAAGCGUGCGCAGGCGGUUAUGUAAGACAGAUGUGAAAUCCCCGGGCUCAACCUGGGAACUGCAUUAGUGACUGCAUAGCUGGAGUACGGCAGAGGGGGGAUGGAAUUCCGCGUGUAGCAGUGAAAUGCGUAGAUAUGCGGAGGAACACCGAUGGCGAAAGGCAAACCCCUGGGCCUGUACUGACGCUCAUGCACGAAAGCGUGGGG
rnacentral:rRNA from 1 species